AGGAUCAUUAUCAUGUAAAUUCAGUCAUGCUUGCUGCGUGAGCUGCAAUACACCCACCCUGCGUACACAUCUCCUGUUGCUUCCGCCGUGCCCAGAUGAGAAUCUGCCCGGCGGGNGGGUAGAAAAUAACCUCCGAGUCAUACUUUAUAGAAUCUGUCUGAACAAAUGAAGAAACCAAAUGAAAUGUUAAAACUUUCAGCAACGGAUCUCUUGGUUCUCGCAUCGAUGAAGAACGCAGCGAAAUGCGAUAAGUAGUGUGAAUUGCAGAAUUCAGUGAAUCAUCGAAUCUUUGAACGCACAUUGCGCCUCCUGGCAUUCCGGGAGGCAUGCCUGUUCGAGAGUCAUUUACAACCACAUCGAACCCCCCAGUUUCAGUCCUCGAGGGUUCUCGGGGGGGUUUCGGUUCUGGAGGAGGAGGAACGAGAGUUGCCAUGCANAGAGCGCCCAUCCUGCCCACCAAAAUUCANCGAGUUCAGCUGUGACCGCUGCG
rnacentral:rRNA from 1 species